UGGGUCUGUUAUUAUUGGACGUUAACAGACGUUAAUGUUUUUUGUUUCUCUCUCUUCGAAACCCUAAGUUCAGCUUUCUCUGUCUCUGUCUUUCGAAGCGAAUUCAUGGUUUUUUAUAUAUUUACACUUGAUUUGGUUGGUAUACUGGGAAUUUCCGUUAACCGACUGGAUGUUGAAGACUACCGGUAUCGAGGAUAAGAAGACUGAAAAUGUUAUGGAGCUCAAUUGUUCUGAUGAAGACAUGUUCGUAGUAGAAGUCGGAUCCAAAAUUACGCAUAAACGUUUGGAAGGGAGAAAAAGUUUAAAGAGGAAAUCAUUUGGUACUCGAGCAGGUUGUAUUAAACAGGUUGUUGCUUCUUACAAGGAGCCACCACUGAAGAGUCUAUCUCCUGAAAUUUUUAAGGAUGAGUCAUUAACGAUUGGUGGGCAAGUAAAAGCUAGAGGUCAGGUGUUAAAGACUCGAGAAGAAGCUAGAAGUAGGCCGCCCAACACUACAUGUCGUGUUGAGACCUUCGGAAGGAUUUGUCAAACUUUCGAUGAGCGUAGGACUCUCUGGGUUGUUGAAAUGGGGUUUGGGGGGCUGUUACAUUUUGCUGGAGACAUGCACCUCCCAAGGCAGUUAUCUUAUUGGCUAAUGAGUUGUAUUGAUCCUUUGAACUACACAUUAAGAUGUGCAGAUGGGAGGGUGUUUGCUCUUUCAAAAAACCAAGUACAUUGGGUACUUGGUAUUCCAAAUAGAGGGAUGUGUGUACCAUGUUACAAAUCUUUACCGUUUGCUAGAAAGGGUAAGGUUCAUGAAAUAAUGGGUAGGUAUGGGAAAGCAUGGAGUAGUAAAUCAAACAAAACAGGUCGACAGUAUAAAUCUGAGGGCAUCCCUGUGGAUAGGAAAUUAAUGGAGAGGGUUGAGGGUUAUUGGGGGGAAGAGGAUGGAGAUGAGUUUAAGAUGUUGUUUUUGUUACUUUCACUGGAGAUGUUGUUGUGUCCUACACAGUCUUCAAGGCUGGCUUCAGAUCUAGUUCCAUGUUUAACAUGUGCCUCCGAAGCUUCGGAAUACGACUGGUGCAGUCUUGUCUUGAAGAAGCUUAUGGACAGUGUAGCUACAUUUGCACGCAGGUUUUAUGCCAGUGGUUACGCUAGUGGCUGCGGAGGAUGUCUUAUAUUCGCAGUGGUUUUCUAUCUUGACCGCCUUGAGAGGCAACCGGUGAGUUGGGGGUUGUUUCCGAGGAUACAAGCUUGGACAAUGGACGAGAUUCGAUGUGCUGUGAAGGAGGACCGCAUGCCUGAGGGUGGUGACUUCGGGGUUUUUGGUAGUUUGGAUGUGGCGUACGGUGAAUCACAUCCCCUAUUAGCAAGGGACACACAAGGACCUGAUGUUGAGGAUCCCUUGGCAUUAGGUAGGUCACGGAAAAGGAAGAUGCCCACACCCAGGCGCGUGGCUAUGAGAAAGAACCUAAGGCAAUAUCGUUUACGAGAUGAGCGAAAGGAAUGUUUUUUUAGCCAUUCUUUAUCCAGCUGUCAUGCCUCGAAUACAAGGGAGCUGAACAACUGUUUCAAUGGACGGGAAUUGGUAAUAGAUGCUUCGUUUCAUGACCGUAUAAAGAGGUCUAUUUGCUAUGAUGCUGCUAAAGCGUUCAAAAUGGUUGAGGAUUCAUAUCAUUGCUUGGAAAGUGUACUUAAAUGACCUUCAAGUUUCCAAAUACUCAGUGCAGAGGCUGAGCAACGCAUAUGCAUGAUGCAGCCUGUCAAUAUUAUCUUUGGUGGUGGUGUAGGAAUAAACACCGCUUGUAUGCACACAUUGAGAAGAUUGAUAGAAAUCGGUUGUUGUGGAGCAAUGGUCCUUGUUUCGCAUGUGACUGGAGUCGUAAAUGAUAGCUGUUGUCUGCCCCACUUAUCAAGUGUUGCUGUUUUCUUAAAGAGGCGCUGUUCUUUGGAAUUGUACACCACACAGUCGCAUUAGUCUUUCGUAUUUCAGAAACAAACUGUAUUGAAUUUUGCUCAAUUGUGUGUUGAACUUCGCCUUAAAUCACCUUGUAAGGACUCCCGUGAUGAUGGUGUUAACAUUAUCCUGCCACCACUGAUUUUGUUCCGCAUUAUCCCAUCAAACCAGUCGAUGGAUUUCCAGAAACAAUAAGUUUUCCGACAACCCUGUCUUCAUGAAGCUACUGUUUUCAAUGUAUUUUUAGUAUCAAUGUGUAACUACCGCUAUUUCUUUGUUAAUUUUAAUAAACGAAAGUUAAAAAAUUCAUAAUUUUUAGAGUUAUGUCCUCUUCGCCGUAUUCAUCUUAAACUGAAUCUGUAGUCGUAUUGGAUUUGCCUAUAAUUACCAGUAAUAAAUUGGGCUAAUAGGUCCAUUCACGUGGCCGUCUAAUGUAAAUGCUGAACUCUAAUUACUAGGUCCACUCAGUUCGUUAA